rnacentral:rRNA from 1 species
CCUACGGGCGGCAGCAGUGAGGAAUAUUGGUCAAUGGACGAGAGUCUGAACCAGCCAAGUCGCGUGAGGGAUGACUGUCCUAUGGAUUGUAAACUUCUUUUAUAUGGGAAUAAAGUUUGGGAUGUGUACUAUUUUGUAUGUACCUUAUGAAUAAGGAUCGGCUAACUCCGUGCCAGCAGCCGCGGUAAUACGGAGGAUCCGAGCGUUAUCCGGAUUUAUUGGGUUUAAAGGGAGCGUAGGCGGACGUUUAAGUCAGUGGUGAAAGUCUGAGGCUCAACCUUAGAAUUGCCGUUGAAACUGGGGGGCUUGAGUGUAGUAGAGGCAGGCGGAAUGCGUGGUGUAGCGGUGAAAUGCUUAGAUAUCACGAAGAACCCCGAUUGCGAAGGCAGCUUGCUAGACUGUAACUGACGCUGAUGCACGAAAGCGUGGGGAUCAAACAGGAUUAGAUACCCGUGUAGUC